rnacentral:rRNA from 1 species
AUUGAACGCUGGCGGCAGGCUUAACACAUGCAAGUCGAACGAGUGGCGGACGGGUGAGUAAUGCAUGGGAAACUGGCUAAUGGCGGGGGAUAACUACUGGAAACGGUAGCUAAUACCGCAUACAAUAGGAUCAGCCCAAGUCGGAUGAGGUAGUUGGUGAGGUAAAGGCUCACCCAGCCGACGAUCUCUAGCUGGUCUGACAGGAUGACAAGCAACAAUAGGACUGAGACACGGACCAGACUCCUAAGGGAGGCAGCAGUGGGGAAUAUGGCGAAAUGGGGGCAACCUGACGCAGCCAUGGAGCGUGAAUGAAGAAGGCCUUCGGGUUGGAAAGUUCUUUCGGUAGCGAGGCGUUAACUGCAGAAGAAGCACCGGCUAACCCCGUGCCAGCAGCCGCGGUAAUAC